AGAGUUUGAUCAUGGCUCAGAACGAACGCUGGCGGCAUGCCUAACACAUGCAAGUCGAACGAGACCUUCGGGUCUAGUGGCGCACGGGUGCGUAACGCAUGGGAAUCUGCCCUUGGGUUCGGAAUAACAGUGAGAAAUUACUGCUAAUACCGGAUGAUGUCUUCGGACCAAAGAUUUAUUGCCCAGGGAUGAGCCCGCGUAGGAUUAGCUAGUUGGUGGGGUAAUGGCCUACCAAGGCGACGAUCCUUAGCUGGUCUGAGAGGAUGAUCCGCCACACUGGGACUGAGACACGGCCCAGACUCCUACGGGAGGCAGCAGUGGGGAAUAUUGGACAAUGGGCGAAAGCCUGAUCCAGCAAUGCCGCGUGAGUGAUGAAGGCCUUAGGGUUGUAAAGCUCUUUUACCAGGGAUGAUAAUGACAGUACCUGGAGAAUAAGCUCCGGCUAACUCCGUGCCAGCAGCCGCGGUAAUACGGAGGGAGCUAGCGUUGUUCGGAAUUACUGGGCGUAAAGCGCGCGUAGGCGGUUACUCAAGUCAGAGGUGAAAGCCCGGGGCUCAACCCCGGAACUGCCUUUGAAACUAGGUGACUAGAAUCUUGGAGAGGUCAGUGGAAUUCCGAGUGUAGAGGUGAAAUUCGUAGAUAUUCGGAAGAACACCAGUGGCGAAGGCGACUGACCGGACAAGUAUUGACGCUGAGGUGCGAAAGC
rnacentral:rRNA from 1 species